GGAGACCACCAGGAAUGAAAGGUGGCUAUGGUAUGUCUGGCUGGGGAGGUGGUGCGUCUGGACGUGGCCUUGGGAUUGGGCUGGAAUUCACUCUUCCUUCACACAAGACUAUAUUUGAAGUUGACAUUGACGGUUUUGAAGAGAAACCUUGGAGACUUCCAGGCAUUGAUAUAACAGAUUUUUUUAACUUCGGUUUGAAUGAGGAUGGCUGGAAAGAUUAUUGCAAGCAGCUGGAACAACUUCGACUUGAGUCAACUAUGCAAGGAAGAAUUCGGGUGUAUGAAACUGUGAGGACAGAGCAGGAAUAUGAUCCAGAAAUGCCCCCAGAACUUGCAGCAGCAGCUGGUAUGAAAGACAUUCCAUCGGAAAAUUUGAAUGGUAAAAUUGAUGGAACUACAAAUGACCUAGGAAGAGGAUCAAUGCGCAUGAGACCACCACUACCCACUGGAAGACCGAUACAAGUUGAAACUGGUUCUGG
rnacentral:misc_RNA from 1 species